CAACAAUAUGCAUGUGUCACUUGGUGGACCAACCUGGGCUGCACAAAUUUUGGAUACCGAGUUCCACAAUGUCAUCCAUUCUAAGAAAAUUGAAAAUACUUGAAGUUAGCAUUUAAAUUAAAGUAAUCCAAUGCGACUUCUUUCACUUGAGCAAAGAAUGGGGAAUAUGAGGAUGGAAAGUAUCGACGAGUUAUGAGAAGAAUAACGGGACCUCUGGAUAACUCAUCAACCUACAUAACGUUUAUAUUAAAUAAUCAUAUAGUUGAUGUAGAAGCAGCACUAUUUAAAUAAAUAUCCUUACAAGAUCCAUCGGCCCCAGAGCAACCGCUCUGUUGGCAAAACCAGUCCUGGAAUUGGUAAUUAUUUAGUAAAUGAAAUUAGUGCAAAUAAAAAUGAAAUAAAUUACCGUAUAUGAUAAGCCCAA